rnacentral:lncRNA from 1 species
GACGUAGCAGCGGCAGGGCCUGGCAACUGACCGGCUCCCAGCUCCAGCUGUUUGACCGAGCUGCCCUUCUGCCCAGCGCAGAUGCCCCAGUGACCCAGAGCCCUUACAAUCUCACCUCUGACUUUCACCUCCCAAUGUUUCUCAGAUGUGCAACAAGAGUGAAGAAAACUAAAUGAGCAUGCAAAUGUUUGACUAUUAGUAAAGAGCUCACCAGUACAGACACAGGGAGCUGGUUGGUCGGCUUGAAAAUUCUCUCAGACCAAGAGAAGCCAAACAAGUUUCUGCACCCACUGAGAACGUGCUUCUGCCAGACGAGGAGAAACAAGUUCUGGGUGUGGCUUCCUAUGAUGCUCCAUUAGGGAAGCCUCCAUCUGCAGAUUAGGACAUUUCCCACGAUCAGUUUUCUGACUGACUUUUGGAGAAGGAGAAGGAGGAGGAGGAGGAGAAGAAGAAGAAGAAGAAGAGGAAGAGGAAGAGGAAGAGGAAGAAGAAGAAGAUCAAUGCUGCAGGCAAUUAAACUUGUCCCUUGUAGAUGAGCCCUGAUUUUAACAACAUAA